CUAGUAAUCGCGAAUCAGAAUGUCGCGGUGAAUACGUUCCCGGGCCUUGUACACACCGCCCGUCACACCAUGAGAGUCGAUAACACCCGAAGCCUGUGAGCUAACCGCGAGGAGGCAGCAGUCGAAGGUGGGGUUGAUGAUUGGGGUGAAGUCGUAACAAGGUACC
rnacentral:rRNA from 1 species